rnacentral:rRNA from 1 species
GACGAACGCUGGCGGCGUGCUUAACACAUGCAAGUCGAACGGAAAGGCGCUGAUCUUGUGGGGUGCUCGAGUGGCGAACGGGUGGGUAACACGUGAGUAAACUGCCCUUGACUUUGGGAUAACUUCAGGAAACUGGGGCUCAUACCGGAUAGGAGCUCCUGAUGCAUGGUGGGGGAUGGAAAGUUUCGGCGGUUUGGGAUAGACUCGCGGCUUAUCAGCUUGUUGGUGGAGUAGUGGCUUACCAAGGCUUUGACGGGUAGCCGGCCUGAGAGGGUGACCGGCGACAUUGGGACUGAGAGACGGCGCAGACUGCUACGGGAGGCAGUAGUCGGGAAUAUUGCACAAUGGGCGGAAGCCUGAUGCAGCAACGCCGCGUGCGGGAUGACGGCCUUUGGGUUGUAAACCGCUGUCGCCUGUGACGAAGCGUGAGUGACGGUAAUGGGUAAAGAAGCACCGGCUAACUACGUG